ACGGCCACAUUAUAUUAAAACACCAGUUCCCAUACGAUCACCAAAAUUAAGCAAUGUCAAGCCUGGUCAGUCCUUAGAUGGGUGACUGCUUGGGAAUACCAGGUGCUGUAA